UAAAUUACAAACCAUAAUUAUUUUUGUACAAUUUUUAGUGAUUUUCCAAAGUCGGAACAGGUGAUUUCAAAAUCAUUCUGACCGUGUCUCACUAAAAUUCAAAUAUCUCAAAAUAUUUAACUCUUUUGCUUACUCUGUUUCCUUUAUGUGAAAAUAGACUCAUUCAGAUUUAGUUUCAUAUCUCAUCAAACCUUUAAUUCAG
rnacentral:lncRNA from 1 species